rnacentral:misc_RNA from 1 species
GUAUAGAGUUUUGACCAGCAAAGGCCUACUACAAAUACAUUCCAUAGACAAUUAAAAGGAUGUUAUAAACACAUAGGACAUCUAGGGCCCUACAAUAAGUUCACAGGUGAAUUGAAAAGGCAGAGUGCACAUUGCCCCGAGAGGCCAGCAACAUCCUGAGGAUUCAAUAAUGAUCCUUCCGCAGGUUCACCUACGGAAA